rnacentral:rRNA from 1 species
UACGUAGGGUGCGAGCGUUGUCCGGAAUUAUUGGGCGUAAAAGAGCUCGUAGGCGGUGUGUCACGUCGGCCGUGAAAAACCUGCAGCUUAACUGUGGGCGUGCGGUCGAUACGGGCAUCACUGGAGUUCGGCAGGGGAGACUGGAAUUCCUGGUGUAGCGGUGAAAUGCGCAGAUAUCAGGAGGAACACCGGUGGCGAAGGCGGGUCUCUGGGCCGAAACUGACGCUGAGGAGCGAAAGCGUGGGGAGCAAACAGG